rfam:Pseudomonadales bacterium RIFCSPLOWO2_12_59_9 rifcsplowo2_12_sub10_scaffold_2144, whole genome shotgun sequence.
AUAUCGCGCGCCCUUUUCUUGGCUUUGAAGGGUGUCGGUAGCUGUCAAAGGAGUCCAACUGAAUGGCCCGUAUUGCAGGCGUAAACAUUCCGGAU